rnacentral:rRNA from 1 species
CAGUCGCCACGGGAAUACGUAGGGUGCAAGCGUUAAUCGGAAUUACUGGGCGUAAAGCGUGCGCAGGCGGUUUGUUAAGACAGAUGUGAAAUCCCCGGGCUCAACCUGGGAACUGCAUUUGUGACUGGCAAGCUAGAGUGUGGCAGAGGGGGGUGGAAUUCCGCGUGUAGCAGUGAAAUGCGUAGAUAUGCGGAGGAACACCGAUGGCGAAGGCAGCCCCCUGGGCCAACACUGACGCUCAUGCACGAAAGCGUGGGGAGCAAACAGGAUUAGAUACCCCAGUAGUCCCUGUCUCUUAUAC